rnacentral:rRNA from 1 species
UACGGGGGGGCAAGCGUUGUUCGGAAUUACUGGGCGUAAAGGGCUCGUAGGCGGCCAACUAAGUCAGACGUGAAAUCCCUCGGCUUAACCGGGGAACUGCAUCUGAUACUGGAUGGCUUGAGUUCGGGAGGAGGGAUGCGGAAUUCCAGGUGUAGCGGUGAAAUGCGUAGAUAUCAGGAGGAACACCUGCGGUGUAGACGGCUUACUGGACCAUAACUGACGCUGAGGCACGAAAGCGUGGGUAGCAAACAGG